UUGGAGGGCAAGUCUGGUGCCAGCAGCCGCGGUAAUUCCAGCUCCAAUAGCGUAUAUUAAAGUUGUUGCAGUUAAAAAGCUCGUAGUUGAAUUUCGGGGUUUAUCCGUUGGUCGGGCUUUUGGGUCUGUACUGGCGUGAUGAAUUCCUCUUCUGAAUAACCAGCAUGUCAUUAAUUUGGUGCGCCGGGGAAGCAGGACUGCUACCUUGAAAAAAUUAGAGUGCUUAAAGCAAGCUAUUGCCUGAAUACAUUAGCAUGGAAUAAUGAAAUAGGACGGCAUGGUUCUAUUUUGUUGGUUUCUAGGAUCACCGUAAUGAUUAAUAGGGAUAGUUGGGGGCAUUAGUAUUCAAUCAUCAGAGGUGAAAUUCUUGGAUUUAUUGAAGACUAACUUCUGCGAAAGCAUUUGCCAAGGAUGUUUUCAUUAAUCAAGAACGAAAGUUAGGGGAUCGAAGACGAUCAGAUACCGUCGUAGUCUUAACCAUAAGCUAUGCCGACUAGGGAUCGGACGAUGUUAAUUUUUUAAUGACUCGUUCGGCGCCUUACGGGAAAC
rnacentral:rRNA from 1 species